UACAGAGGGGGCAAGCGUUGUUCGGAAUUACUGGGCGUAAAGGGCGCGUAGGCGGCCUUCUAAGUCGAACGUGAAAUCCCUGGGCUCAACCCAGGAACUGCGUCCGAUACUGGAAGGCUUGAAUCCGGGAGAGGGAUGCGGAAUUCCAGGUGUAGCGGUGAAAUGCGUAGAUAUCUGGAGGAACACCGGUGGCGAAGGCGGCCCCCUGGACCGGUACUGACGCUGAGGCGCGAAAGCGUGGGUAGCAAACGGGG
rnacentral:rRNA from 1 species